GGAGGGUGCAAACGUUGCUCGGAAUUACUGGGCGUAAAGCGCAUGCAGGCGGGUCUGCUAAGUCUCGUGUGAAAGCCCUGGGCUCAACCCAGGAUGUGCACGGGAAACUGGCAGGCUAGAGUUCGGCAAAAGAGGGCGGAAUUCCCGGUGUAGAGGUGAAAUUCGUAGAUAUCGGGAGGAACACCAGUAGCGAAAGCGGCUCUCUAGACCGAUACUGACGCUCAGAUGCGAAAGCGUGGGGAGCAAACAGGAUUAGAUACCCUGGUAGUCCACGCCGUAAACGAUGGGCACUAGGUGUCGGGGGCUUGACCCCUUCGGCGCCGCAGCUAACGCAUUAAGUGCCCCGCCUGGGGAGUACGGUCGCAAGACUA
rnacentral:rRNA from 1 species